CUAGUUUGAAAUUCUCUAAAAGUUAGAAUUAUUUGAAAAACAGCGGACCAAUGCAAGUAAUCUUGUGUUCAAAUCACAUCAAUGUUAUCUCGCUCACGAAUGAAGAUGGCUUGAUUGACAGCCGCCGAUGCAGCUUUGGAUUGGCAACGUUAAAAAAAGGAGGCGGAGACGGAACGAAAAGCUUAAGAACGAAGAUGGAGCCAUAGCAUACCCAGACUAAGAUUUAUUCUUGGUCGAUGUAAAUACUAACUUAUGUGAGCUGUAGCAUAAGAAGUCCCUUAUAUUUUAUUGAAUGCUUGUUUAAAAAAUGAAUGAUUUGUGGUUCACAGUGGGUGGGGUGGUGUGGGGUGGGGAUGUACGGAGACCAAAAAGAUUAAUUAAAGUCCACCUUUUACACACGUUAGUAAUGUAACGUGGUUGGGAAUCUUGGGUUUUGUUUCUCCAUGUUUGUUUGUGUGUGUAAACAACCUGCAUAAGAACGGUGCGCGCAGGUCAGA